UGCUAUUCUCAUGACAGUGAGUAAUUUCUCACAAGAUCUGAUGGUUUUAUAAGGGGCUUCCCCCUUCACUUGGCUCUCAUUCUUCUCCUUCCUGUCACCAUGUGAAAGAUAUGCUUGUUUCCUCUUCUGCCGUGAUUGCUUAUAAACAGAAGGGACUUGCCUUGUCUCAGAUGAGACUUUGGACUUAGACUUUUGGGUAAUGCUGCAAUGAGCUAAGACCUGCGCUGAUGGAAAGACUGAAGUACAGUGACACGAUCUUGGCUCACUGCAACCUCUGCUUCCUGGGUUCGAGCGAUUCUCCGGCCUCAGUCUCCCAAGCAGCUGAAACUACAGAUGCAGAUAAGAAACGUGGGAAGCCACAAGAAAGCCAAGUAGCCUGGGAAAAAGUGGUCAUUGAGCCAUGAGAAAAAAUUAACAUUUGAUCCUGUUGGUGCCACCUGAAGGCAGAGAUGGCUGAGGACCCCCGAGUGUAUAUAUCUGGAACUUAUUUAUCAGAGCAUCACUAAGAGCUUUUCUGUAAGAGUGAUUGCCAUUUAUUUAAUGUAUGAAUGAAAGACUUAAGAAUACAUCUGACCCAGGCAGCCUGGGUUCAACUCUCCAUGUGAGAAUACCAAGCUUGGCUGGGCACAGUGCCUCACAUCUGUAAUCCCAACACUUUGAGAGGCUGCGGCAGGAAGAUUACUUGAAGCCAAGAGCUGGCGAACAACCUGGGCAACAAAGAAAAGGGACACACUGCAAUCCUGGAGGAGCCGCUCUGUGGAUGCAUAUGAAAAAUGGAAUCAUAGAUGCGCAAGGGAUUGAAUGGCGAACACAGAUGUGGCCCACAAAGAUCCUUAACAACUGCUGGGUGUACUGCCAGCAGACAGCCUUUAGAGAGGAGCCUCUUCAGGAAUUACUUCAGCUAUAGAGACCCACUUUUUCCAAGAUCAUGUCUUUCCAGGGGUGGUCCACAUUUAGCGACUGAUCUAGGCAAAAGUAAAAAAAGUUCAAGCCCUUUUAUCCCAAAGUGGGGCAACUCUGUUGGGCCAUUUCAGCUUUUAAAUUCCUUGUGGUGUUGGCUGAUGUUAUUGGGUUGGCCUGGCAGCCCUACAUACUCUUCUCCCCAAUCUUGUUUUUUUCCCUUUUCAUUCAUGGCUUUUGAUCUCAAGGCACUUCUUUUUUAAAAAAAUUUUUACCUCAUUUUUUUUGGACAGGGUCUCACUUUGUUGCCCAGGGCAGAGUACUGUAGCACAACCAUAGCUCAUUGCAACCUCCAGUUCCUAAGUCAUCCUCCCACCUAAGCCUCCUGUGUAGCUAGGACUAUAGGUGCAUGCCACCAUGCCCUGCAAAUUUAAAUUUUUUUUUCGUGGAGAAAGGGUCUUGGUAUACUGCUCAGGCUAGUCUCAAAUUCCUUAUCUCAAGUGAUCAUUCCCUCUUAGCCUCCCAAUGAGCCAUUGCACCUGGUCCCAAAGGCACUUCUUAAUAAGCAUCCUGCAUGCUAAACCCUGUCUAUAAAAGUCUUUAAGAAUUGGCUUUCUGUAAACCCCAGCCAGCAAUACAUAACUAUUUUGAAGCCUCCACAGAACUCUUGAGCAUUUGCUACAAACCAGCCAGCAAUCUCCUCCCAUCCAAGUUUUUCAGUGUAUAAACUCCAAUCUCUUCACAAAGUGUCAUCCUGCUCCACAAAGAAGAAUAAACUAGUUAUUGAUUAUGUCUUCUUUGCUUUCUAUACACUCCAAUCAAGCUGUUUCCUCCUUCAUAGUGUGAUGUGAACCCAUAUUGUAGGCUUUUACUCAUGAAAUGACUAUAUUAUUAAAAGAGAGAUUCUCUCAUCUCUAAGCCCUUCCUUAUGAAGAAAUUUGUAAAUAAAUUUAUUAAUGAAUUACCUAUCAUGUUUUUCUUACUCAAAAUAAAUCAGGUGCCCUAUAGCUGCUGAAGCCUUGCUUGCAUCUUAGUAAUAAUAAAGUUGGUGGCUUUAAAAUGAAUUCUAAAAAACUCAAAAUUACAUGUAUUUAUUCUUUUCAUUUCUUAUUCUCAGACUUGAAUUGGCUCACUAUUCAAAGUAUAAGUAAUGUAAACUUUUCAAGAUGAUGCUAUUCAUGAAUUGUCUCUUCUAAGCCCAAAUUACAUAAUUUUCUAGUUUAGAAAAGGCUUUGGUAUAUCUCAUUCCUAUAGCACUCAAGUUUAUCAUCAACUUUAUUGAGGAGAUUUUUAGAUUUUAAAUACUUGAAUUUUGUUUAAAAUAUCAGACACAUGUAAACUUGUCUGACUUUUAAUUUAGCAGGAAAAAAGCUUAAUAUUUCAACAAGACAUUUACCCUGAAGAGAAACAAUAACAUGGAAUAAAAUAAUUAGAACAUCUUUCAUUUAUUAGAAUAGUGAAAAUACAAAAACAAAACAAAACAUAAAAACAACAAUACCAAAUGCUGGUAAGAAUGCUGAAUACAUUCAUUGCUGGUAAGGGUGAAAAUGGUAUAGCCACUUUGGAAAACAGUUUGGUCAGUUUCUUGAAAAAAACUAAACAUAGCCUUACAAGUGGUCCAGCUAUCCCUUUUCUAGUUAUUUACUGAAGUAAGUUGAAAAUUUAGGCUCACCCCAAAAUCUGUACACAGAUGUGUAUAGAUUUAUUCAUAAUCCUCUCAAACUAGAAAUAACAAAAAUGUCCCUCAAAUGGUGAAUUGAUGAACAAAUUGUAUGUAGUAUAUCUAUAUAAUAAAAUAUAAUUCAACAACAAAAAGAUAUGUGCUGUCAAGCCACAUAAAAAAUGUAGAAAUCUAAUAUGCCUAUUGCUUAGUAAAAAAGCCAGUCUGAUAAGGCUACAUACUGUAUGAUUCUAAAUAUAUAGUAUUCUAGAAAAGGCAAAAUUAUAGAGACAAUAAAAUAUUUGUGGUUUCCUGGGAUUGAGGGGAAGAGGAAGAUUGAGCAGGUGCUACACAGGGGCACAUUAGGGCAGUGAAAGUAUUCUGCAUGAUAUUAUAAUGGUGGAUUCAUGACACUAUGCAUUUGUUAAAACCUAUAAAACUGUAACACAAGGAGUGAAGCCAAAUGUAAACUAUGGACUUUGGUUAAUAAUAAUGUAUCAAUAUUGGCUCAUCAAUUAUAACAAAUGUACCACAUUAAUGCAAGAUGUUAAUAAUGAGGAAGACUGUGAGGUGAUAAAGAGGGGAUAUAAGGGAAUUCUCUGUACUGUGUUCUCAAUUAUUGUAAACCUCAAACUUCUGUAAAAAUCCUAUUAAUAAGAUAAAAAGGAAAAUAUGUGUGUGUGUGUGUAUAUAUAUAUAUAUAUAUAAU
rnacentral:lncRNA from 1 species